AGUAGUCCACGCCGUAAACUAUGAAUGCUAGGUUUCGGGAGUAUCGACCCUCUCGGAGCCGUUCAACCAAGUUAACACGUUAAGCAUUCCGCCUGGGAAGUACGAUCGCAAGAUUAAAACUCAAAGGAAUAGACGGGGACCCGCACAAGCGGUGGAGCGUGCGGUUUAAUUCGAUGGUAAGCGAGAAACCUUACCUGGGCUUGAAAGACAGCUGCAAGCCUUCCGAAAGGAAGGCCGCUUUCGAAGGUGCUGUCUAGGUGCUGCAUGGUUGUCGUCAGCUCGUGGUGUGAACUGUUCCCUUAAGUGGGGUAACGAGCGCAACCCUUAUCCUGUGUUAUAUUUGUCACAGGAGACUGCCCGGGCAACCGGGAGGAAGGUGAGGAUGACGUCAAAUCAGCAUGGCCCUUACGUCCAGGGCUACACGCGCGCUACAAUGAUCGGUACAAUGGGUUGCCAAGUCGUAAGACGGAGCUAAUCCCACAAAACCGAUCUCAAUACAGAUUGAGGUCUGCAACUCGACCUCAUGAAGACGGAAUCGCUAGUAACGGCCAAUCAUCACGUGGCCGUGAAUACGUUCUCGGGUCUUGUACUCACCGCCCGUCACGUCAAGGGAGUCGGUAAUACCCGAACGUCGCCGUAGGGCGGCGGAAGGUAGGAUCGAUAACAGGGACGAAGUCGUAACAAGGCACCCGUAGCGGAAGCUGUGGGUGGAUCACCUCCUUU
rnacentral:rRNA from 1 species